UACAGAGGUCUCAAGCGUUGUUCGGAUUCAUUGGGCGUAAAGGGUGCGUAGGCGGCGCGGUAAGUCGGGUGUGAAAUCUCGGGGCUUAACUCCGAAACUGCAUUCGAUACUGCGGUGCUUGAGGACUGGAGAGGAGACUGGAAUUCAUGGUGUAGCAGUGAAAUGCGUAGAGAUCAUGAGGAAGACCAGUGGCGAAGGCGGGUCUCUGGACAGUUCCUGACACUGAGGCACGAAGGCCAGGGGGAGCAAAACGGGG
rnacentral:rRNA from 1 species